AGGAUGAAGGCCUUCGGGUUGUAAACUGCUUUUGUACGGAACGAAACGGUCUUUUCUAAUAAAGAAGGCUAAUGACGGUACCGUAAGAAUAAGCACCGGCUAACUACGUGCCAGCAGCCGCGGUAAUACGUAGGGUGCAAGCGUUAAUCGGAAUUACUGGGCGUAAAGCGUGCGCAGGCGGUUAUAUAAGACAGUUGUGAAAUCCCCGGGCUCAACCUGGGAACUGCAUCUGUGACUGUAUAGCUAGAGUACGGUAGAGGGGGAUGGAAUUCCGCGUGUAGCAGUGAAAUGCGUAGAUAUGCGGAGGAACACCGAUGGCGAAGGCAAUCCCCUGGACCUGUACUGACGCUCAUGCACGAAAGCGUGGGGAGCAAACAGGAUUAGAUACCCUGGUAGUCCACGCCCUAAACGAUGUCAACUGGUUGUUGGGUCUUCACUGACUCAGUAACGAAGCUAACGCGUGAAGUUGACCGCCUGGGGAGUACGGCCGCAAGGUUGAAACUCACUGGAAUCUCCCGGGUGGG
rnacentral:rRNA from 1 species